UCCUUACAUUUCCCCCAUUACUCUAGGCAUAUCCAGUCUUCCAGCCCUUGGAUGGGAGCUGACAGAAAUACAUGCAUCUAGCAUGAGUUAAGAUUCCUUGGAAGAUUAUGCUCAAGGAGAACAAAGAUGGGAGCAGGAUGGGUUCUCUGAACGGGACUGAAUGAGAACUGGACCGGUUCUAUACGCUGGCUGCCUGGAGCCCCAUGCUGAGGGCUUGGGGAGUCAGGGGCAAUGUGGAGUUGAUGUCGUUUUGGCCGUGACCAUAGCCACAGCCAGACAAGCAGGGCAAAUCACACGCCUGCACAAUU
rnacentral:lncRNA from 1 species